rfam:Aspergillus wentii DTO 134E9 unplaced genomic scaffold ASPWEscaffold_9, whole genome shotgun sequence.
GCCCGGUUAGCUCAAUGGCUAGAGCGUCGGACUUUUACGAGUUCACAACAGUGAAAUCCGAAGGCUGUGGGUUCGACCCCCACAUCGGGCG